rnacentral:rRNA from 1 species
CUACGGAGGGGGUUAGCGUUGUUCGGAAUUACUGGGCGUAAAGCGUACGUAGGCGGAUCAGAAAGUAUGGGGUGAAAUCCCAGGGCUCAACCCUGGAACUGCCUCAUAAACUCCUGGUCUUGAGUUCGAGAGAGGUGAGUGGAAUUCCGAGUGUAGAGGUGAAAUUCGUAGAUAUUCGGAGGAACACCAGUGGCGAAGGCGGCUCACUGGCUCGAUACUGACGCCGAGGUACGAAAGUGUGGGGAGCAAACAGGAUUAGAAACCCUAGUAGUCC